GAAAGUAAAUCAUUACAUUUUUUAUGAACAUCCUGAAUUACUGAAGCUUAAACUAAUUCAAACUUUGUUAUAUUUUGAAUGGCAGCAGGGUAUUACAUUUCUCCUGAGUUUUGCCUCCAGAAUUGUGCAGCCCAAUAUCCACAGAGGCUAAAAUUGGUAACAAAGUUCAUGCAUUCUAAUUUUAUUUCCUUCUUAUCUACAGUACCUAUAAAUCUACAAAAUUCUUGGCAAAUAGAAUGAUUACACAUUUGAAGACUAGUUUCAGAAAAUGAAAAGGGAAAUAAGUUUUGCAUUACUCACCGAGAAUGACCACAUGGACACAGUUUUGAAAAUAUAAAAACAGUUUUCUUCAUACAG